rnacentral:rRNA from 1 species
CAGAGGGUGCGAGCGUUGUUCGGAAUUACUGGGCGUAAAGCGCGCGCAGGCGGCCUUUUAAGUCUACCCGUGAAAUGCCGGAGCUCAACUCCGUGCACGCCGGGGGAUACUGGGAGGCUGGAGACAUGUAGAGGCAAGCGGAAUUCCGGGUGUAGCGGUGGAAUGCGUAGAUAUCCGGAAGAACACCUGAGGCGAAGGCGGCUUGCUGGGCAUGAUCUGACGCUGAGGCGCGAAAGCGUGGGGAGCAAACAGGAUUAGAUACCCUGGUAGUCCACGCCGUAAACGAUGGGCACUAGACGCGGGUGGGAUCGACCCCUUCCGUGUCGCAGCUAACGCGAUAAGUGCCCCGCUGGGAUACGGCCGCAAGGCUG